AUUGAACGCUGGCGGCAGGCUUAACACAUGCAAGUCGAGCGGGGGAAGGUAGCUUGCUACCGGACCUAGCGGCGGACGGGUGAGUAAUGCUUAGGAAUCUGCCUAUUAGUGGGGGACAACAUCUCGAAAGGGAUGCUAAUACCGCAUACGUCCUACGGGAGAAAGCAGGGGAUCUUCGGACCUUGCGCUAAUAGAUGAGCCUAAGUCGGAUUAGCUAGUUGGUGGGGUAAAGGCCUACCAAGGCGACGAUCUGUAGCGGGUCUGAGAGGAUGAUCCGCCACACUGGGACUGAGACACGGCCCAGACUCCUACGGGAGGCAGCAGUGGGGAAUAUUGGACAAUGGGGGGACCCUGAUCCAGCCAUGCCGCGUGUGUGAAGAAGGCCUUAUGGUUGUAAAGCACUUUAAGCGAGGAGGAGGCUACUUUAGUUAAUGCCUAGAGAUAGUGGACGUUACUCGCAGAAUAAGCACCGGCUAACUCUGUGCCAGCAGCCGCAGUAAGAC
rnacentral:rRNA from 1 species